AAGGAGGAAGAGCAAGAGAACAAGGGUUGAAGAAGGGAAAAGCUUGAAGCUAAAGGAUUUGCCGGAUUAACUCAGGUAAGGGGGGUUUAUCGUUGUUUAAUGGGUAUUAUGGAUUAACAUGUGAUGGGUAGUAAUAAGCCAUUGAUUGACUCUAAUUAGGUUUUGAGAAAUACCUUGAAUUGUGAUGAAUGAAUUACGUUAAAAACUGUGAAUGAACCUAUAUUUGGAUGAGUUGUGAUUUUCUGGACGUGUAGCUUUUU
rnacentral:lncRNA from 1 species